ACAGUUAAGCAUCUCCCUUACACCGAGAAGACGCCCAUGCAAGUUGGGUCACCCUGAGCCAAACAGCUAG
rnacentral:tRNA from 1 species